AGUGAACGCUGGCGGUAGGCCUAACACAUGCAAGUCGAACGGCAGCACAGUAAGAGCUUGCUCUUACGGGUGGCGAGUGGCGGACGGGUGAGGAAUACAUCGGAAUCUACUUUUUCGUGGGGGAUAACGUAGGGAAGCUUACGCUAAUACCGCAUACGACCUACGGGUGAAAGCAGGGGAUCUUCGGACCUUGCGCGAUUGAAUGAGCCGAUGUCGGAUUAGCUAGUUGGCGGGGUAAAGGCCCACCAAGGCGACGAUCCGUAGCUGGUCUGAGAGGAUGAUCAGCCACACUGGAACUGAGACACGGUCCAGACUCCUACGGGAGGCAGCAGUGGGGAAUACUGGACAAAGGGCGCAAGCCUGAUCCAGCCAUACCGCGUGGGUGAAGAAGGCCUUCGGGUUGUAAAGCCCUUUUGUUGGGAAAGAAAAGCAGCAGGUUAAUACCCCGCUGUUCUGACGGUACCCAAAGAAUAAGCACCGGCUAACUUCGUG
rnacentral:rRNA from 1 species